UACGGAGGGGGCUAGUGUUGUUCGGAAUUACUGGGCGUAAAGGGCGCGCAGGCGGCUUGGCAAGUCGAGUGUGAAAUCCCUUGCUUACUAGAAUGGCGCUCGAAACUACCUCGCUAGAGGACGGGAGAGGGAAGUGGAACUCUCGGUGUAGGGGUGAAAUCUGUAGAUAUCGAGAGGAACACCGGUGGCGAAGGCGGCUUCCCUGG
rnacentral:rRNA from 1 species